rnacentral:rRNA from 1 species
CCUACGGGAGGCAGCAGUGGGGAAUAUUGGACAAUGGGCGAAAGCCUGAUCCAGCCAUGCCGCGUGUGUGAAGAAGGCCUUCGGGUUGUAAGGCACUUUCAGUGGGGAAGAAAGCCUUGGGGCUAAUACCCUCGAGGAAGGACAUCACCCACAGAAGAAGCACCGGCUAACUCCGUGCCAGCAGCCGCGGUAAUACGGAGGGUGCGAGCGUUAAUCGGAAUUACUGGGCGUAAAGCGCGCGUAGGCGGUCUGAUAAGCCGGUUGUGAAAGCCCCGGGCUCAACCUGGGAACGGCAUCCGGAACUGUCAGGCUAGAGUGCAGGAGAGGAAGGUAGAAUUCCCGGUGUAGCGGUGAAAUGCGUAGAGAUCGGGAGGAAUACCAGUGGCGAAGGCGGCCUUCUGGACUGACACUGACGCUGAGGUGCGAAAGCGUGGGUAGCAAACAGGAUUAGAUACCCGAGUAGUC